rnacentral:rRNA from 1 species
AAGCAUAUCAAUAAGCGGAGGAAAAGAAACUAACAAGGAUUCCCCUAGUAACUGCGAGUGAAGCGGGAAAAGCUCAAAUUUAAAAUCUGGCAGUCUCCUUUUUCUUUUUUGGCUGUCCGAGUUGUAAUCUAGAGAAGUGCUUACCUGCGCUGGACCAUGUAUAAGUCUCCUGGAAUGGAGCCUCACAGAGGGUGAGAAUCCCGUCUUUGACAUGGACUGCCAGUGUGUUGUGGUGUGCUCUCAAAGAGUCGAGUUGUUUGGGAAUGCAGCUCUAAAUGGGUGGUAAACUCCAUCUAAAGCUAAAUAUUGGCGAGAGACCGAUAGCGAACAAGUACCGUGAGGGAAAGAUGAAAAGGACUUUGGAAAGAGAGUUAAACAGUAUGUGAAAUUGUUGAAAGGGAAACGCUUGAAGUCAGUUAUGUUGGCUAGGGAUCAGCCUAGUUUUUCUGGGUGAAUUUCCUAGUCUGACAGGCCAACAUCAGUUCUGACUGCUGGAAAAGAGCAGAGGGAAUGUAGCACCUUUGGGUGUGUUUAUAGCCUUUUGUCAUAUGUGGCAGUUGGGACUGAGGGAUGCAGCAUGCCGUGAGGCUUGGNUCGACC